GACGAACGCUGGCGGCGUGCCUAAUACAUGCAAGUUGAGCGCUGAAGGUUGGUACUUGUACCAACUGGAUGAGCAGCGAACGGGUGAGUAACGCGUGGGGAAUCUGCCUUUGAGCGGGGGACAACAUUUGGAAACGAAUGCAAUACCGCAUAAAAACUUUAAACACAAGUUUUAAGUUUGAAAGAUGCAAUUGCAUCACUCAAAGAUGAUCCCGCGUUGUAUUAGCUAGUUGGUGAGGUAAAGGCUCACCAAGGCGAUGAUACAUAGCCGACCUGAGAGGGUGAUCGGCCACAUUGGGACUGAGACACGGCCCAAACUCCUACGGGAGGCAGCAGUAGGGAAUCUUCGGCAAUGGACGAAAGUCUGACCGAGCAACGCCGCGUGAGUGAAGAAGGUUUUCGGAUCGUAAAACUCUGUUGGUAGAGAAGAACGUUGGUGAGAGUGGAAAGCUCAUCAAGUGACGGUAACUACCCAGAAAGGGACGGCUAACUACGUG
rnacentral:rRNA from 1 species